UACGUAGGGGGCUAGCGUUGUCCGGAUUUAUUGGGCGUAAAGAGCGUGUAGGCGGCCAGGUAGGUCUGGUGUGAAAACUCGAGGCUUAACCUCGAGAUGUCAUCGGAAACCAUCUGGCUAGAGUCCGGAAGAGGAGAGUGGAAUUCCUGGUGUAGCGGUGAAAUGCGCAGAUAUCAGGAAGAACACCAAUGGCGAAAGCAGCUCUCUGGGACGGUACUGACGCUGAGGCGCGAAAGCUAGGGUAGCAAACAGG
rnacentral:rRNA from 1 species